rnacentral:rRNA from 1 species
ACUCCUACGGGAGGCAGCAGUGAGGAAUAUUGGUCAAUGGACGCAAGUCUGAACCAGCCAUGCCGCGUGCAGGAUGACGGCCCUAUGGGUUGUAAACUGCUUUUAUACGGGAAUAAAUUGACCUACGUGUAGGUUAUUGAAGGUACCGUACGAAUAAGGAUCGGCUAACUCCGUGCCAGCAGCCGCGGUAAUACGGAGGAUCCAAGCGUUAUCCGGAUUCAUUGGGUUUAAAGGGUCCGUAGGCGGGUCUUUAAGUCAGAGGUGAAAGCCUGCAGCUCAACUGUGGAAUUGCCUUUGAUACUGGAGACCUUGAGUGUGCGUGAAGUAGGCGGAAUAAGUCAUGUAGCGGUGAAAUGCAUAGAUAUGACUUAGAACACCGAUUGCGAAGGCAGCUUACUAAAGCACUACUGACGCUGAGGGACGAAAGCGUGGGGAGCGAACAGGAUUAGAUACCCUGGUAGGCUCU